AACGAACGCUGGCGGCGUGCUUAACACAUGCAAGUCGAACGCGAACAGUUUCUUCGGAAACUUAGUAGAGUGGCGCACGGGUGAGUAACGCGUAAGUAAUCUACCCUGGCAUCUGGAAUAACUCACCGAAAGGUGUGCUAAUACCGGAUACGCUGAUUUAUCAGGAAAGGUGGCCUCUUCAUGAAAGCUACUGUGCUGGGAGGAGCUUGCGUACCAUUAGCUAGUUGGUGGGGUAAUGGCCUACCAAGGCAACGAUGGUUAGCGGGUCUGAGAGGAUGAUCCGCACACUGGAACUGGAACACGGACCAGACUCCUACGGGAGGCAGCAGUGAGGAAUAUUGCGCAAUGGGGGAAACCCUGACGCAGCGACGCCGCGUGGAUGAUGAAGGCCUUCGGGUCGUAAAAUCCUGUCAGAUGGGAAGAAAUGCCAGAUGUCUAAUAUAUGUCUGGUUUGACGGUACCAUCAAAGGAAGCACCGGCUAACUCCGUGCCAGCAGCCGCGGUAAUACGGAGGGUGCAAGCGUUGUUCGGAAUUACUGGGCGUAAAGCGCGCGUAGGCGGCUUUUUAAGUCAGAUGUGAAAGU
rnacentral:rRNA from 1 species